CUAUUCGCUAAAGGGUGUUCGGGAGGCUACGCCGUAAAACAACCCCAUUUCUAAGGUUGACCUCGGAUCAGGUAGGA
rnacentral:rRNA from 1 species